rnacentral:rRNA from 1 species
AAUUCGAUUAGUUUGAUCAUGGCUCAGGACGAACGCUGGCGGCGUGCUUAACACAUGCAAGUGGAGCGACGAACCCGGGCUUGCCCGGGGGCAGAGCCGCGAACGGGUGAGUAACACGUGGGUCACCUGCCUUGAUGACCGGGACAACCCGAGGAAACUCAGGCUAAUACCGGAUGUGCUCUUCGGAGGAAAGGAAGCUUCGGCCUCCGCAUCGAGAUGGGCCCGCGGCGCAUUAGCUUGUUGGUGGGGUAACGGCCUACCAAGGCGACGAUGCGUAGCUGGUCUGAGAGGACGAUCAGCCACACUGGGACUGAGACACGGCCCAGACUCCUACGGGAGGCAGCAGUGGGGAAUCUUGCGCAAUGCGCGAAAGCGUGACGCAGCAACGCCGCGUGGGGGAAGAAGGCCUUAGGGUUGUAAACCUCUUUCAGUUGGGACGAAGGUUCGCCGGUGAAUAGCCGGCUGGAUUGACGGUACCUUCAGAAGAAGCCCCGGCUAACUACGUGCCAGCAGCCGCGGUAAUACGUAGGGGGCAAGCGUUGUCCGGAAUCAUUGGGCGUAAAGCGCGUGUAGGCGGCCCGAUAAGUCCGCUCUGAAAGUCCAGGGCUCAACCCUGGGAUGCGGGUGGAUACUGUCGGGCUCGAGUCCGGAAGAGGCGAGUGGAAUUCCUGGUGUAGCGGUGAAAUGCGCAGAUAUCAGGAGGAACACCAAUGGCGAA